rnacentral:rRNA from 1 species
GACGAACGCUGGCGGCGUGCCUAAUACAUGCAAGUAGAACGCUGAAGGAGGAGCUUGCUUCUCUGGAUGAGUUGCGAACGGGUGAGUAACGCGUAGGUAACCUGCCUGGUAGCGGGGGAUAACUAUUGGAAACGAUAGCUAAUACCGCAUAAGAGUAGAUGUCGCAUGACAUUUGCUUAAAAGGUGCAAUUGCAUCACUACCAGAUGGACCUGCGUUGUAUUAGCUAGUUGGUGAGGUAACGGCUCACCAAGGCAACGAUACAUAGCCGACCUGAGAGGGUGAUCGGCCACACUGGGACGGAGACACGGCCCAGACUCCUACGGGAGGCAGCAGUAGGGAAUCUUCGGCAAUGGACGGAAGUCUGACCGAGCAACGCCGCGUGAGUGAAGAAGGUUUUCGGAUCGUAAAGCUCUGUUGUAAGAGAAGAACGAGUGUGAGAGUGGAAAGUUCACACUGUGACGGUAUCUUACCAGAAAGGGACGGCUAACUACGUG